rnacentral:rRNA from 1 species
UACGAAGGGGGCUAGCGUUGCUCGGAAUCACUGGGCGUAAAGGGUGCGUAGGCGGGUCUUUAAGUCAGGGGUGAAAUCCUGGAGCUCAACUCCAGAACUGCCUUUGAUACUGAAGAUCUUGAGUUCGGGAGAGGUGAGUGGAACUGCGAGUGUAGAGGUGAAAUUCGUAGAUAUUCGCAAGAACACUAGUGGCGAAGGCGGCUCACUGGCCCGAUACUGACGCUGAGGCACGAAAGCGUGGGGAGCAAACAGG